rnacentral:rRNA from 1 species
UCGAGCGGCAGCGACUUAACUGAACCUUCGGGGAACGUUAAGGGCGGCGAGCGGCGGACGGGUGAGUAAUGCCUGGGAAUAUGCCCUGAUGUGGGGGAUAACUAUUGGAAACGAUAGCUAAUACCGCAUAAUCUCUUCGGAGCAAAGAGGGGGACCUUCGGGCCUCUCGCGUCAGGAUUAGCCCAGGUGGGAUUAGCUUGUUGGUGAGGUAAUGGCUCACCAAGGCAACGAUCCCUAGCUGGUCUGAGAGGAUGAUCAGCCACACUGGAACUGAGACACGGUCCAGACUCCUACGGGAGGCAGCAGUGGGGAAUAUUGCACAGUGGGGGAAACCCUGAUGCAGCCAUGCCGCGUGUGUGAAGAAGGCCUUCGGGUUGUAAAGCACUUUCAGUAGGGAGGAAGGUAGUGUAGUUAACACCUGCAUUAUUUGACGUUACCUACAGAAGAAGCACCGGCUAACUCCGUGCCAGCAGCCGCGGUAAUACGGAGGGUGCGAGCGUUAAUCGGAAUUACUGGGCGUAAAGCGCAUGCAGGCGGCCUGUUAAGUCAGAUGUGAAAGCCCGGGGCUUAACCUCGGAAUUGCAUUUGAAACUGGCAGGCUAGAGUCUUGUAGAGGGGGGUAGAAUUUC